UGCACUCACUACUGUAAGUCACUCUGGAUAAGAGCGUCUGCUAAAUUACUAAAA
rfam:Salmo salar isolate Sally breed double haploid chromosome ssa20, whole genome shotgun sequence.